rnacentral:miRNA from 1 species
AGGCAAAGCUCCUCUUCAGUAAA